rnacentral:rRNA from 1 species
GAUGAACGCUGACAGAAUGCUUAACACAUGCAAGUCAUUGGCGAAGCUGCGCUUGCGCAGUCUAGCCAAGGCGGACGGGUGAGUAACGCGUAAGGAACUUGCCCUGCAGACAGGGAUAACAGACGGAAACGACUGAUAACACCUGGUAUUGUCAGGCUGGCGCAUGCCGGCCUGAUGAAAGGAGACGCUGCAGGAGAGCCUUGCGUCCUAUUAGCUAGUUGGUGGGGUAACGGCCCACCAAGGCGAUGAUAGGUAGCCGGCCUGAGAGGGUGAACGGCCACAAGGGGACUGGGAUACGGCCCUUACUCCUACGGGAGGCAGCAGUGGGGAAUAUUGGACGAUGGGGGCAACACUGAUCCAGCAAUUCUGUGUGCACGAAGAAGGUUUUCGGACUGUAAAGUGCUUUCAGCAGGGAAGAAGAAAGUGACGGUACCUGCAGAAGAAGCGACGGCUAAAUACGUG